AUUGUGAACUUCCUAAUGCUCAAAAUCAAUGAGUGCAAGUUAGCACCGCUCUCGAUAAAUUAAUAAUCUCACUUAGAUACAAAUUUUGUUCCGUCUGGAUUCAAUAAUAAUAUACUAUAUUAUUAGUUCGAUAAUUUAGUAUUUCAAAAAUAUAAUAGGAGUUUGUUAAUCCCGGAAGUAUUAAUUUAUAGAUGUUUAAGUCACUAAAAUAAUGUCUAAAUCUUACGGAUUAUUUUACUUGUUGAGAGGAGUUCAAAUAAGAUGGAGCUCGAGCUCGAGCUCGCGAGUUCAAGUUUGAGGUCGAAUUUUUGUUGAGUCGACCCAUCUAACUCACGAGCCAGCUCAGUUCAUUUACACCACUUAGGAGAACGACCUCGCAAUUUUAACAAAAACAAUUGACAACUAAAACAAAACUGUCAAUAUUACUUGUCCUUUUCUUUUUUCUUGGACAUCUAUGCUUCUGGUUUAGUAUUUAUUUUUAUUUUAUUUUUGAAGUUAAUUAAAGGAAUACUAAUAUCUUUUUUUAUUUAUGUGAUUUGCAGGAGAGCUCCACUUCCACAUGUCAUGCCAGCAUUUUCUCCAACUCCAUUCAUGUUUUGAAGCAUAGCCUCUCUUAAUUUUAUUUUAUUAUCAUUUUAGAAUGUGUACAUAUAUAUUUAUAGCUUUGAUGUCAUUCAUAACUUUCAUAUUAACAUAUGUUUAUUUUAUAUUACAUAAUUAUACUUAGUAAAGUAUAAUAGCUAAUAUCCAAUCAUAUACAUUAGGGGUAUAGACGAGCCGAGUUUGAGCUCUUCGAGUUUUUUUCUUUUGUUCGAUCUCAAGUGUAAGCCAUUUAUUUGUGUUUUUUUUUUAAUGUUUAAAUUGGUAUUAUUAGAAUUUUAUUAUUAUAAAUUAUAAUUAAAAAAAGUUUAUUAUUAUUUAUAUGAAUUUAUUACUUAAUGUUAUCUUAGUAUAUUUAAAAUAAAAAACUCACGAGCCGACUCAAGAGCUCAAGAACUAAGAAUGAGUUCGGGCUCAGUUCAUCAAAAAGGUCAUCAAAAAGGUCGAGCUCUUAAGCAACGCGCUCUAAAUUAAAUCCAACUUGUGCUUUAAUAUAUUAAAAAUUAUUGAACAACUCCAUAUUAACUUUUCUGAUAAUUAAUUCGAAUACUACAACAAAAAGCUCAAUAGAUAAAUAGUUUCAAACACAGAAUCGUUUGAUAGAUAAGAUAAAUAAAACUUUAAAAAAAGUCAUGUAAAUCGAAAACCAGAGAGAUAUUUUAUUGAUUCCCAACAAAUUAAAAAAAGGGGGGAAAAUUCAUUUGCAUACUGCUUCUUCUUCUUCGGGAGUCGAUUUUCCUCCACGGAAAAAGUCGGCGAAGGUAGGUAGCUUCAUCUCACCUUUGUACGACAUCGGAAUCGUGAAAUUUCCGAUCACCGGCAGAUCGAUAAUCAGCCCUAAUUCCAGCACGUAAUCGAUGUCCCAAUCGCCGCCGACGUCUCGGAUCAGGCUGACCAUGGCGCCGUGCGGCACCUUCACCGUCACCUCGAGCAUGGUGUCGCCGUUCCCCUUGAUGGAUCCGGGAUCGGGGAUGGUGCCGGAGACGAUGCAUCUGUCGGCGCUCUUGACGGCGUAGGCGAUCUCUCCGAUCGGGAUCGGGACGGAGUAUGGAUUGGUGAUGGAGAUCUUCGCCAGGAGAGUUAUUCCGUCGAGUCCGAAACCCUUGAAAUCCACGUCGGUGAUGUCGGCCUCCGGCUUCGGCAUGUUCGCAACUUUUCCGGCGACGUAGUUCUUCGCUUGCUCCAGAAUCUCCAUUGUUGAUUAAUUGCAAUUGGGUGAGAGAGAAUUGAAUGAAUUUACAGUGAGAUAUAUAUAUUGUAUAUAUAUAGACAGUGUGUAUGUAUAGGCGACGACCGUAAUAUAUAUAUAGCAAGGGGACGCGUUAUUAGCAGCAGGGAUGGGUAGUGGGGAAUCCGUGUUUUGAGAUCCGCAUUUUCAAUUUUUAUUUAUGUUUAUUUUAUUAUAUAGAAUAUCUACAUUUUCAAUUAUUGUUAUUGUAUUAUAUGCACUAAAAGAUAAAAUUCAAUUCUUCUCAAAAAAUAGAUAUUUUGUUUGAGGGUAUGUCGGCUAAACAAUCGAAUCAAACUGAAACGAGUUUUAAUUGAGUCGAACGCAAUUUGAGAUUGAAUUUGUGUACACGUUUUAUGAUUUUUUCUAAUCGAGAUCGAGUUGAGAUUCAAACUUGUUAAACGAAAAUAUCAGCUGAAGUUUGGUUCGUUAUACUGACAAAUUGAGUUCAAAUAAGUGUGCUCGAAUGUAAUGUCAAGUAUCUUGAUUUAAUUUUGAACCAUAUGCAAAGGUCGUGUGGAUCAUAUACCCGAUAAAUUACACCAGUUUGCUGAGUAUAUAGUGAAAUUAAUUUCGUCCAGUUCACCAAGUGUAAAUCUAAAUAAGGUAAAAUAUUAAUCUCACACACAAUACACUAGUCAAAUCGCAAGUCCCUUACAACCGUUCGAAUCUGUAAAUAACAAUUUUUUUUACCUCAACGAUUGUAAUUAUAGUCAAAAUUUAGGUUGAAAUUUCACGGGUCUCGAUUACUUAUUUUUUAUUAAAAAUUUAGAAAGUUCAUUACCAAACUGUUGUUGUUUCAAUUUUCAUGUUAAAUAAAGGGAGCCAAAUGCAAAACAUAUCAAGUUAGAGGACUAGUAAGUAAUUUUACCAAUUUUAACAUAAUAUUACGUAUAAUUGAAAUACUCACAUGUAAAAUUUGGGAUUUUGGGGGAAGAAAUCGUCGAAGGAAAAAGGUUAGGGUCCAUUUGGAUGGAGGGAUUUGAUUUGGGGAAUGAAUUUGGAAUGACUCCAAUUUUGGAGUCAUUUGAAAUCCAUCACUAUUGCUCAAAAAUUAACUAAAAAUGACCUCAAUCCAUCCCUCCAUCCAAAUCCAAAUGCACCCUUACAGAUGGAUGAAGAAAUGGCGGCGAGGGUGUCACCGGAAGCAAAAUCGAAGCUGGAGAAGAAAUACCGCCUUCCAAUUUCAGUCCAAGCUUUUUCCCUGGCCGUCCAUGGCGUUCGAUUCUUCGAUUCCAAACAUCAGCCCGGUUAGUUUAUUUAUUUUCAAUUGCCUCACAUUGUUCAUAUUUGUUGAUUGCUUCGGAUAAAAUCGAUGAUAAGGAACCCUAGAAAUUUCGAUCAGGGUGUUAAAAAAAAAAUCGCGCCUUUUAUCACUAGAAAAUGUUAUGUGAUGAUAUAACAAAGAAAAAUAUUUUAAUUAAUUAUAGGAGAUGAAACCCUAGAAAAAAGUGUUGAAAUAUUGGAAUGUGCAUGCAAGCUGGUGCUAGAAAAAUUGAAAAACUGCGCCCACGAAAUCGAGUUCAAAGACAAGGCGUACGAGUUGCGCCGCGCCCUUGUCGAACUAAUUGAAUUGCACAGGGACAAGCACCCGGAUAGCCAAUUAUGGGUGGCUCGAUUGAAAUCGGAGCGCGAUUCCGCAUCAUUCUACAUGGGAGACUUCUUAUAUCAAUGGGACUUUGCGUUCGAUCUGUUUCUGGACGAAAGAACACCGAAAAAGAUUAAAUUGUACAGGGAAUACGCGUCGAACAUUGCUUCUCUAUACUGUCCUGUGCUGAAUAAGAGCAUCUUGAAGGAAUCGUCUGUCGUACCCCGUGAAAAGUCCCGUAACAUUGUUCGGUUUCUCGAUGAUAUACAAAGACAGCUAAUUAAACGUUUCAAGUGUCUCUUGACAGUCGAGGCGUGUCAUGUUGCUGAGGUUUUUUGUCCAUUUUAAUAUUUUAAUUUAUUUUUUGUUAAAUUGCAAGCUCUGAUUUUCGACUUCAACUUCAUGGAGGUGUAGGUGCUGAGCAUGCGGACUGAUGUCCCGCUCACGCAGAUUCUUCCGUCAAUUAACAAUCACAAGAGAAAGGCUAUUUAUAUGACGAAACAGAGGGUGGUGAAUCAAGAACGCGUGAUAAAUGAAAUUUACGAAACGUUGUCCGUAAGUGGGCCGAUUACUACCCGCCCUAGGGGUUCGUUUCUUCUUUUGGGUGGUUCUGGAGUCGGUAAAACGGAGAUCGCAAAGGCUGUUGCGCUUCAUUGGUAUUGUGAUGCGAGCAGGCUUGUGGAGAUAGAUAUGUCAGAGUACGCAGAGCCGCCUCAGUUGGAAUCAGCAAAUUGUGAUAUAGUUGAGUGGUAAGUGCGUUGAUUCCAUUAAUCAAGACUAUCGAUUUCGAAUUAUUAACCGCUUUUGUACCGAGCAACUUCUUUUUUAGGUCAAAGAGAAUGCAUCGUGAAUUUUGGAAUCGUCUUACUGAGAUUGUGGCGAAACGACCUUAUUCAGUUAUCCUUCUCGACAAAGUUGACAAGGCUUCCUCUAUUGUCGCAAGGGUUCUCGUUGAGGUUUUGAGUUACGGUGAUAGUAAGAGGAGCAUUGUUGACUUCUCCAACUCUAUUAUUUUUAUGACUUCAAGUGUGGGGUCCACACAACUUCCACCGUUGUUCUCUAGUACAAAUUGGAAUGAAGAUGUUUUGGAACAGCUUAGGCGCAAUCCAGUCGAAUUCUACAGGGCCCGUAUUUGUAAUUUAAGGGGCAGUGAGGAAAGAGUUCUUGCCGAGGUUGGCAUUUUUUUUUUAUAAAUAAAGUUGGUGCCUGAUUUCGUCAAUUGUAUGUGAGCGAAUUCCUUUUGUUUUGUAAUGGAAUCUGUAGGUGAGAAGAAUCUUCGAUGCUGAGCUGUUAAAUUCAGUUAAAAUUCUUGUCGUGAGGAGGUUUCAAAAUAACAAGGCUGUUGCGAGGCUGUUGCUUCGGGAAAUUGUUAGAGAUAUUUAUGGAGAAAGAUUUGUCGUGCAUGCGUCUAAUGCUGCAAUAGAUGCCUUAUUUCUCAAGGCACCAACCGUACAUGUAAGUAGUUUCUAUUGAGUUUAUUAUUUGCUAGUUCUUCGUGUUUUAAUUUAUUGAAGAGGAAGAAAUGUCUGCAUGUGAAUCGCUUCGUCUCUUUUAAACCGUAACUUCAUUCACCUUGUGAUCGUGUUUUUCUCGUUUUCUUUUUUUUUUUUUUGGUAGAUUGAAGCUGGAAAGGCUUUCCAAAAAGCAUUGCUCGAGCACGUAAUUCCACAAUUAGCAACCUCAAAAGGUGCAGACAAUGCUUCUGUAUAUAUUGAUACGUUAGUUGGAACUCACGAGCUAUCGUUCAGAUUCCAAGUACAUGGACAAAAUGCUCCCGAUUGGUACUUAAAGCUAGCAGAUGGGACAUUCGAUAAUUUGUUGGUCGGCUUAAAGAAGAAGGUUAAAACAGUGCAUAAGAUAUUCAACUUUCGUAGAGAAUGCUUGCGCAUGUUGCUUACUCCCCAUAGUUUAUUUUUGUUGGGGAAUUUAUUAGCAAAUUCUUGCGACGGGCUCUUAAAGUGUUGCUUGGGAGACAAACCACUAACAUGCGUAUUUAAAGAGGUAUGUUUAUUAUAUUGUUUAUAUUCCAUUACUUAUAUGUAUGUAUGUAUGUAUGUAUGUAUGUAUAUCGACUACACAACCAAAACACGUACACAUGCACGUAUGCAGAGAGCAUCUUGGGACAAUAUUCUUCCUACAAUUGAAGAGAAGAAGAAGAAGACGUUGAAAAGUCUUGUCGAAAAAUUGAAAAAAAGAAACGAUAGUGGUAUUGCUAAAGUAACUAGUGUGAUACUAGAUGCUCUAGUGAAGACGAGCGACGCUGCGUCAUUGGAAUCGCCUAAUUUGCCAGAUAAGCACUUCCUAAUUGGAGGUUUGAACGGUGGUGCUAAAGAAGGGCUGAUUAGUUCCCUUAACGAGUCGGUAGGGGAAUCGCUCUUCGUGUAUAUCAAAUUGGACGAUAAUUGCAGAGGCGAGGAAGUGAAGAAGCUUGUUAUCGAUGAAGUGAAGAAGAGGCCAAGUGUGGUCGUUUUGUUCGAUGGAAUCGAGUUUGCCGACGAUGUGAUCUAUAAGAGCAUACUCGAGAUUCUUGAUAAGGGUACACUCGAUGGUGACUGUGAGGUUGAGUUUUGGAGAAGUAUCGUUAUCCUUUUAACGGAUGUGGAAAAUAAACCUUGGAUUGCUGAGGCUAGGUUUAAUUGUCGACCGAAUGUUCCGUCUAGUAUGGCCGUGAAUCAGGUUUUUUUUUUUGUUAUUUCUUUUUACUUCUUUUUUUUUUAAUUUUCCCGAUAUCGGGAAGAAAAAAAAAAGGUUUGUUGAUAUUGGAUUUUUGUUUUGGUGUUUAUGUUUUGGCAGAGUGUGAAGAGAUUUAGGACGGAGUUGAUGCAUCGGGUGGAUGGGAUAAUUGUCUUUAACCCUGCGGCAGAGGACGACGACGGGCCUUUUCUGCGUAUUCCUGGUGGCAGCUGCUGCUUGAAUAAUUUGCAGUUAUUUCGUUGUGCCAGCUUUUACCACCCUGGUUUCUCUUUGUAAUGUUUGAACCAUUGCGAGUUAGUUGACAACACAUGUACAUAGUAAUAUUAACUUCGUCAAGUUCACCGAGUGUAAAUUCGACCGAGUGUAAAUUCGAAUAAAGCAAAAUAUAAGUCACACAAACACGCGCACACACAAUAGUCAAAUCGCAUCGCAAGUCCCUUACGCGCACACACAAUAGUCAAAUCGCAUCGCAAGUCCCUUACAACCGUUCGAAUCGGUGAAAUCAGAUUUUAUUUUUAUUUUUAUUUUUUAAUUUUAAUGAUUUUAAUUAUAGUGAAAUUUUAGGUUGGAAUUUUACGGGCCUCGAUCUCUUAUUUAGUUAUUUAUUUAAAUUUUAGAAAUCUCAUUACCAAAUAAGCCCUAAGUCGACCCUGUACUAACAUUUUGUAUUGCAUUCGUGUUUCUCGAUAACGCACUCAUUUUUCCCUUCUUUGGUAUAUUAAUUCCCUUCAUUUAUAUAACAAAUUUCAAUUUUUUAUUCGAUUUUUUGUCAAGUUGGAAUUUGCAAAUUCUGUCGAUUUUGAAUCGAGAAAUUUCAAUUGCGAAACAAGUUUUUUCAUUCCAAUAUUUGAAAAUUUGAAUUUCCGAUCCGUUCGAUUUUCAGCACUAUCUAUAACUACGACUUUAUAUACAAUAUAUACAAUAUAUAUAUAUAUAUAUAUAUAUAUAUAUAUAUAUAUAUAUAUAUAUAUAUAUAUAUAUAUAUAUAUAUAUAUAUAUAUUGUAGUUCUAAGCAACCGAAUCGUCAUCCUUAAUCUCACUCUCGAAACAACCGAUGUGGUAGAAACACUGACAGUCCGGAAAACCUUGCACAAUGUAGCCACAGGUAUAUCGUCGCAGCCUCGUCCUUGAUUCCGGAGGCCAGCGGCUCCACCAUCUCGGAGUUCCUGAUAAAGGAAACCAACCGCACAGCUCUAGAGUAGCAUUGCACACUGGGCACUCGAUACCGGCGUCAGUCUUUUUUCUUCUUCAUUUUAAUCUGUAAUUCAUGUAUCACCAACUGUGCAAGCGGUGUCCGCACUUGAAAACUUUGACGACUCCCAUUCGGCAUAUCCAACCUGAUAAAUCACGCAGAUGAUGUUCUUUUUCACACAUAUCCAACACAUAGCCGUGUAGGAGGAAGUGAUAGCGCACGCAUGCAUUCCACAAUUUCCUCCAACGCCUCAAGCUCGUCCAUCAUUCGAAAUAGUUCAUCUAUCCUUUCGUCGUUUGCCAUUCUUUUCCUAGAUUUCUUCAACAUUUGACAUGUCUCUCUGCGUUGCCUCUCGCUGGCAGCUGCCAUUUUUUUCUAGAUUUUGAUGGAGAGCUAGGGUUUGCAGUGGAUAUGGUUUAUCGGGGAGAGACUCGGCUUUUUGGGGUUCUGCGUGUAGGUCUACUAGGGUUUAUGUGUCCAUGUAUAUAUAUAUAUAUAUAUAUAUAUAUAUAUAUAUAUAUAUAUAUAUAUAUAUAUAUAUAUAUAUAUAUAUAUAUAUAUAUAUAUUGACUAAUCUUAUCUUGGCAACGAAACGAUGUCUUAGUCAAUUAUAACUGAUGAAAAAAUGAAGCAACGCAACUUCUUAAUAAUAUCGAUGGGAGUAAAAACCCAAAAAUGGUCACCUUGAACAAAUAGUCUAUCUCAAAUUGCUCUAUAUGGGAGAUGUAUAUGUACCUGAAUGAUAAGAAUUGAUUCAAGUUCAAUGUGAAAGGAAUCUUGGAAUUCCCCACAGUCGACUAAGUUAAAUACCUAUUUAUUAUCCCCACCACCAAACAUACCCAUAACAUCCUUAGCAGAACCCAUUUGCUUCAUCAAGCUUUGCAAGCCGCCCAUGCCGCCAAUCUGACUCAGCAUCUGAGGUGGCAGCGCCUUACUCAGUUGCUGCGCGUUCAUAUUUCUCGAUAGGGCGCUCAUUUCUCCCUUCUUCGGAAUCUUCAUUCCCUUCAUUUUCCCCCAAAUCUUCGCCAAACGUUUAUACUCUUCCAAUAGUUCCAUCACAUCCCUCAACGGACGCCCACACCCUCUAGCUAUCCGCAUUAAUCGAGACUCGUUCAUCAUCUUCAGAUUUGAACUAUCCAGCUCUGCAAUAGUUUAUAUGUUUUCUAAUAAGUAACAAAUAUAGCUCUAGUGGAAAUGGGUAUUUUGGUAAUUAAACUUGCCUUGAUUAGUCAUCGAGUCCAUCAUUGUCAUAUAUCUUUUAAUCUUAGCCUGGCUUUCCUUUUCACGUCCUUCGGGCAUCAACUCUUGGCUAAAUCCCGGAAGCAUGGAGAGUACCUAACGAAGAGAAAAUGAGGCUUAGUUACUUAAGCAGCAACCCGAAAAAAUUAGAAAUUUAUUGUCAAGAUAAUGGCGAUAUAAUCGAGUAAUUGUUUUCACAACAUUCUUGGGCAGUGUAUAUAACAUGCUAUGUCGUUAUUCCGAUAAUUCCUCUAUUGAGAGUUGAAGAUUAAAAAUGAAAUGAAGCUAACGGAACUCGAGUAGUGUAAACAUGGACUCACGAGAAAGAAAAGGGAUUAACCUGACUCAUAGGACCCAUUUUAAGUAAAGUCUGAAACUGCUCGUACAAAGUCCUGAAAGUAAAGUUGCCUUGAGAAAGCUUCUCCAGCUGUUGAUCCUUCGGAACCACUUCUUGAAUUCUUUCAACGAACCCAGACCAGUCGCCACCACCCAUGCCUAUAAUAAUAUAUAGAGAUACACAAGUAUUAAUGACUUAACGGCAAAAAAAAAUGUUUUGCAACAAACGAUGAUUAGGGAAUGCCAACCUAGCAGACGGUUAACAAAUGGCUCGACAUCAAAUACUUCGAACUCGUCCAUAUGUUCACCCGUGCCCAUAAAUAUCACUGGACUUUUUGUUGCUGCAACUCUGCAAAACAUGUUUUCCACAGUAAGCAAAUCAUCGAGUUUGGAAUAGUUUAAUUGAUAAAAGAAAUACAAUUUAGAUUCAUCUGGAAAUCUUUACCAGUAAUAUUCUAAUUAGAGUUUCUUACACCCUGAUACUAGAUACUAGAGACGGAUCCAAAACCAAACGAACUUAUAUCAGGAGAUAUUAUGUGCAUCAUUUGCAUAUUUAGCUAAUAUUAUCAUUAACUCGGAAAAAAAUGUAUAAGCUCUUUUUAUAACUUACGCACUAAGAGCACCACCUCCCUUAGCAUGCCCGUCCAUCUUAGUGACAAUUACAGCUCCAACCGCAACACUUUGCUUGAAUGCUUUAGCUUGAUCGAAUGCAGCUUGACCAAUACUGCUAUCCAUGACAAAUAUCACAAGAUCUGGUUUCUGGAAUUUACAAAUGAUAAUGUCAUUAUUAUUAGUAUUAUUAUCUUAUAACUAAGUCGAAAUUAGAAACAAAGAAACAGGCGAAGCACAGAAAAGCACACCGUUGCUUCAUAAACUUGACGCAUCUCUUCAAAAAGAGCUGCUUCCUGCAUGUGACGUCCACUGGUAUCAACAAUUAUGAGGUCACAGUUUUCCUUCUUAAACCUUUCAACCCCUUCUACAGCAAUGCUCACAGGAUCCGACUCCGUGUAGCUGUAAAAGAAUAUAUCAUUUCAUACUAGAGGACCAAAAGACAUUACAAUGGAAGCAUGAAACAGAAACAAGAAUCCAACUCCGAUGAAAUAUUCCAUAUUGCAAAGCCACCUUUUGUUUAAGAAUCAAUAUGCAUACUUAUCCUCACCUAGUAAUACAUACUCACGAGCAUAAAAUAAAUGCUCAUUCUGACAAAUUUAUCAAACUUCACUCUUAAUCUUCACAUAAACAGUUUCAUGGCAUUACUGAUUGACAAAUGCAACCUUUUGUACUUACUGGGCACUAAUGAAUUUAUAAACCCAAAAAAAAAAUUGCCGCUUUGAUUCACACAUUACUAAUCCCCGCAACAAAAAAAAAACAUCAAAAGAAUGUAAUCAUCCUUCAUUUUUCAUGGGAUAACAAGGAUUUUUUUAAACAAACACGAAGAAACUAAUCCACCAAAUCAUAGCGAAAAAAUGAUACCUUCCAUAGAAAGGAAUUUUGGCUUUAGUGGCAUUCUGCUUCAACUGGUCGAAAGCACCAGCUCUGAAUGUAUCUGCACAAACCAAGGCAGGUUUCCAUCCCUUCUUCUGGUGGAAGUAUGCAUAUUUGGUACAAGUCGUUGUUUUCCCCGACCCUAUAAUUAAAAAUCAAGCAUAUGUCAAAAUUUGACUCCUUCCUCUCAAGAUAUCAAAAUUUACGAUAUCAUGAAUAUCACAUGCUCAGUCCCAUUAAAUGUGUAUUUCAUGAUUAAACUGUGAGUCGAAAAGUUGAAAAUUCCACCCAGAAUGACACUAUAUACCACGCAUAGAUUACUAAUACAAAAUAAACAAUAUAGUUUAACAUCAUACCUUGCAACCCAACAAACAUAACAACGCUAGUUUUCCCUUUCUUGGGAGCGAACGAAGGCUUCCCUGGAUCCAAUAUCUUGCAUAGCUCCUUCAAAAUAGCCUACAAAAGGGGGGCACUAAAUUCUAUAUUAUAAAUAAACAUAGCAACUCACUAGUCAAAACUAUCUAAACAAAAUCCUCACACUCGCAGUCAAACGGAAAUAAAAACACAAAUUUAAUUACUCAAUCCCAAAGCAAAGCAAAAGCUAAUUGCAUCAAGAGACUCGUGAUUUCGUCUUAUGCUAUCAUAUCCUCAAUUUUCCCUCUUUCCGAUUUUCGACAAACAAACGCAUAAAACACAUCCAAAUUAUUGAAUUAACAACGCUACAUUAAACACUGAGACUGAAAAACCACACCCUCAUUUUAUUAAAAUAAAGCAGGGAAAAAUGAAAAAACUUUGUGCUGAUCAAAUUCCAAAAUUCCAAAAUUCAAAUCGGGGAAACCUGUUUGAUAAUGUUGCGUUUAUUAUGGCCGGCGGCGAGAGCGUCGAAAUCGACGAUCUUCUUGAUAUUGGUCUGCAUAUUGCGAACGAGCGUGAACUGCACGUCAGCUUGAAGGAGUGCGCGCGUGAUCUCAUUGAGGCAAUCAUUCAAAACCUUCUCGUCGAUGAUCGUCGCAUUGUUCAUCUGCUGAAUCGCGCGCGAAAUGCUGCCACCUAAUUGCGCAAGCACCAUUUUUACUGAUUCACGGUCGGAAUUGCGAUUAGGGUUUGUGGAAAACUGAUUUUGCUUUAGAAAAUGGGGUAAACUGAUGAAUCGUAUAAUUUUAGGCGUUUUUCCUAUAUUUUAUUGCACUGCAUAUAUGUAUUUAAAGUUUGGAUUAAUUUCUCUUAUACCCUUAUAUUAUACAUAUUGUUCACUUACCUCCUUUAUAUUAUUUUAAUCUUCACUUUUACCUCGCAUGUAAUAUUAACACCUUUAAAUACCCCCGAAAUCAAUUUGUUUGUCAAUAAUGCCCUUUCUCAAUUUUAUAAAGGGGUCUUAAGAUAUAGGUCCCUAGUGACAAAACUAAUUAGAACUAAAUGACAAGCUCAACUAAACAUUUGUUUCAUAUAUUUUAUUAAAUUCAUUCCGAAAUCUUUCACUCAUCUUUAUUUUUUCAAUUUACACUCUGCAUUUGUUUAUAUUAUUAUAAACAAUUUUUUUUCUUCUUUUUGUUAAAUAAUUCAGCAGAUUUCAAAAAUACUAUGGUAUACUAUGUUAUACUAUGGUGUACUAUCAUUUCUACAUUAUUAUUAAAAAAUAUUUUUAUCUACAAUAUUAUUAAAAAUUACAAAACAAAACUUGUUUUUCCUUUUUGUUAAUUCAGUAUAUAUAUAUAAUAUUUUAUUUGUUGUAAUACUAUAGUAGACUAUGGUAUACUACGGUGUACUACCAAACCCUAGCCACCGCCAACACACAACCCUCGUCAACCCUAGCCGUCAACGUCAAACUCUAGCAGCCAACGUCUACAGCCGUCGCAACCGUAACCUACCAACUUUGGGAAAACCUAGAUUUACGAUUUUGAACCCAAAUCGAGAAAAAUCUCUUGAAGAUCAAGAUCGAAUCUCUACCAUAACUACAUCCCCGCCGCCAUCUCAACCACCACAGCCGGCCGCCAUCUCGACAACCACACCCACCGGCGCCGAAUCCUCCACCACAGCCCCCGCCGCCGCCCACAACACCUCGCCGCCAUCUCAACCACCACAGGUCACCGCCGCCUCCUCCACCCCAGCCCCUCGUCGCCGCCUCUUUCACCCCAGCCCCCGCCGCCGCCCACAACACCUCGCCGCCAUCUCAAAACAAAGCCGAUCGCCGCCACCUCCUCCACCCCAGCCCCCGCCGCCGCCCACAACACCUCGCCGCCAUCUCAAAACACAGCCCGCCGAUGCCGCCUCCUCCACCACAACCCUCGCAGCCGCCUCCUCAUCCACCACAACCCUUGGCUUCGACUAUUACCUAAUUAAUUAGCAAGAGAGAGGUAUAGAGAUAGAGAGGUGAGAGAAAGAUGGAGAAAAAAAACGAGAUUGAAAAAAGAGAUUAGAGAACGUGUGAGAGAGGGACGGAGAGAGAGAGAGAAACCAAAAGAACGAAAUAAAUCUGAAUUGUAGAAACGAGAAUAUGUAGGUUAUAUAAUUUAGGGUAUAAGGGCAAGAUAGGGAUUAAAAAAAUUAGGGAUGUGGCUCAUAUAUUAUUUUAAAUUAAGGACUUAAUUAAAAAAAUGAAUUUGAACUUGUCAUUUAGUUCAAAUUAGGUUUCGUUUGAGGGGCUCAUAGCAUAUUACCCCUUUUGUAAAAUCCUUUUUUUUUUGUACUUUUUUUUUUGCAUAAAAUUUAGGGUAAAAAACUCGUUUAAUCUAAUUUCGUGGAGGUGAGAAACUAAAAAUCUAGGGUUUCACUAAAAGAAAUCUAGGUGUAGACACAUAAAAUUAAUUAAUUGGUUAAUUAAAUUAGCCAAUUAAAUUGUGUCUAAAUUAAAUUAUGGCUUGUCUUGGAAGACAAGUAAUGGAGAUAAAUACCAGUUAAUUAUUGACCAAUAGGAUUGUUUAUUUUCUUCCAAGUUAUAAGAGAUAAUUAUCAAUUUAAAGAGAGCCAAUCAAAUCACGCCACGUCAUCAAGAAUAUUUUAUGUAGGACUUUUAUUCUACCACUAUAAAUAGAGACCCUCCCUACACAAUUCAACACACAACUCAAGAAGAAGAAAAACCGUAGGAGAAAAUUCUCUCUACAAUAUUCAAGUCGUUCUUCAUCAAAUUAAGGGUGUUCUUCAACCAAUCAAGAUCGAAGGAAGAUUGAAGGGCCAAAUCCAUCAAGAACUCCAAGAUCUUCAAGUCAAAUCUCGAAUAACUCCAAGAUCUUCAAGUUAAAACUCGAAGAACUCAGAUCUUUAAGUCAAAGCCCGUCAAAGUUCAGCGUUCGAUUCGAGAUUCAAGUCGCAAGACCCUUGGAAGACGUUAUUCAAAUCCAAAUCAAAUCCAGAGAAGAUCAAGUCAACGACCCGACUCUGAAAUUCAAAGUGAAACACAUAUUUUUCAUGAGAGAAGAAUUAGAGGAUUAAAUUAGAGUUUGUAACCCGCAAUAUUUUAUUUUAAUUCAAUAAAAUUAUUUUUGUGCAAGUUUUUCUUGUUUGUUUAAAUCGCAGAUAAGAAUCUGUUGCUACACUAUGGUUUCUUCAGGUUAGAUUAGGGUUUAACAUUAUCACCCGCUAGAAGAAUCGUUGCAAGAAUCAAUGGAGGAGGAAUUGCUAAAGGUGUUGAAAGGAGCAAAACCGAAGUUGGAGAAGAAAUAUACCGUUCGGAUUUUGGUCUGCGCUCUUCGUCUCGCCGUUCACGGCGUUAAAUACUUCAAUUCCGGCAAACUGAUCUCCGGUUAGUUGAUUAUUUUUAAUUCUCUGUAAUUACGAUUGAUUAUGUUUUUUUUUGUUUUUUUUUUUAUUUUAUUUGAAUCAAAAUUUCUCAACGAAUAAUUUUUCAGAAAAAUCAACCUUCGAAAAAGGUCUCCAAAUUUUGGACGGAGCAUGCAUGAUGGUGGAAAGCAAACUCAGAAAUUGUGUCCACGAGAUUGAAUUCUACGAGAAGGCGUAUCAACUGCAGCGAGCGCUUGUCGAACUAAAUGAGUUACACAGGGAGAAUUAUCCGGCUACCCAAUCGUGGGUGAAUCGCCUAAUUCUGGAACGUGAUUCUGCAGCACUGUACAUGAAAGAUUUUUUACUGAGAUGGAAAAACGUUACGACUUCGUCUUUGUUCGAUUGCGAUAUGCUGGACGAAUUAAUUAUUACACCAUGGAGUAGUAGAGUGGCCGAUGAUCAGUUUCUGGAUGAUAUACGAGGCGAGCUAAUCGAACUUUUCCAGCCUAUCUUGACAGUCAAGGCUUGUCAUGUUGCCGAGGUUUCUUUCUUGUCAUUUUAAGCAACUUUAGUGCUUCGUACUGUCGGUUUUUACUUGGCAACUUUUCUUUGAUACUUUGUUCUUAAUACGUUUGUUCAAUUGUUCUAAAUUUAUGUUAUUACACAUCUGAUGUAUACGACCCUAUGCAUUUAUUAGGUGGUGAGCAGCUUGACUGAUGUCCCGCAUACUCAGAUUCUUUCGCAUAUUACCAGUCAGAUGGAAAAGGCCAUAUAUAUGAUUGGCAAGAGGGUGGUGAAUCAAGAACGGGUGAUUAAUGAAAUCUUUGGAACGUUGGGCUUGCAUAGAGAUAUGGUUACGCGCCCGAGGGGUUUGUUUCUUCUUUUAUAGACAUGGUAAAACGGAGAUUGCAAAGGCUGUAGCAGAGCACUGGUAUUGUGAUGCAAGCAGGCUCAUAGAGAUAGAUAUGUCAGAGUAUGUGGUGGAGGAAUCACCACCUUGUGAUUUAUCUGAACGGUAGUUCAUAUACUUCUCAAAUAAUUUGUUUUCCGGGUUUUCUAACCCAUUUUGUAUCUAUCAUGCUCGUGAACAUUUUUUGUUUUAGGUCAAAAAUGAACCAUCAGGAUUUGUGUUUGUGGAAACGUUUUACUAGUAUUGUGGCAAAACGUCCUUACUCGGUGACUGUAACAUGUGGCGUCGGAGGGUGUCCGGUUGUUUUCAAUCUGUAUACAGAAAUUGUCCAGUUUUUUCUGCCGCUAAGGCCAGAUCAUGAGGAGUUCAUGCCUCCAUAUGAUGGUGGUGGUGAUGUUGUUUGGAAUGAACCGCCAUUGAUUUUGCAUAGAAUUGUUGAGAGGAUUAAUUUGGUCACAAUCAAUUCGUUGGUUCACUCGGUUCCAAUUGAGGCAUAUGGGGAGACAUCGGUUUCUCAGGGAGGCCACCAUGAGUGGGACGACGGUGAAGAUUUCCCCUAAAGCGACGUCGCCGUCGGCUGUGGGUAAAAUAAUUUAUCUCUCUCCCCCUCUCUCUCUCGCUCGUACUGAACUUGGCAUUAAAUUUUGAUAAAGAAAACUAAACCCCGAGAGAGGGAGAGGGAAAAGGGAGAGUCUCCCUCUCAAUCUCUCUCCCUCUCUCACUCGUACUGAACUUGGCAUUAAAUUUUGAUAAAGAAAACUAAACCCCGAGAGAGGGAGAGGGAGACACGGCCACGUGCCGGUUUUAGGCCCGGAACCGGCCCAACCCGUUGACCGGUGAACCGGUCCGGGACCCGUGAACCGGCCCCUCAUCCCCGGGACGGGCCCGAUUCUAUGAAUUGGUGAACCGUGAACCGCCGGGCCAGCUUGGUGGUUCACCCAAAUUUAAAAAAAAAAAUCAAAAAAGUUCAAAAAAAACAAAAAAGGGCCGGUGAACCGGCCGUUAUUUGCUAUUUUUUGAAUUCCCCCCCCCCCCCCCAUUUUUUCUUAUAAAUACCCUUACACCCCAUUUUUUCAUAUAAAAUUAAGUUAAAGUCAUUUUAUUUAUUUCUUUUAUUUUUUUCCUAUUUAAAAGUAAUUAAUUUAAUUUAUUUAUCCAUUAAGUAUUUUUUUUUUAAAUAUGUAUAUAUAAAUCAAAUUUUUCGGCCCGACCCGUGAACCGGCCCGGAUAGGCCCGGAACCGGAUUGAACCGGCGGGCCGACCCGGCCAGUCGAACCGUGCAUAUUACGGGCCGGUUCCGGUUCCGAAAAAAUUGAACUGUGAACCGGUAUGAACCGGCCCGUGAUCGUGUCUAGGGAGAGGGAGAGGGAGAGGGAGAGGGAGAGUGAGAGUAAGAAAGUAAAAAUAAAAUAAAAUAAGAGAAAAGAAAAUAAAUUAUUUUACCCACACCCGACGGCGGCGCCGCAUUAGGGGAAAUCUUCGCCUUCGCCCCACUCACGGGGGCCUCCGUGAGAAACCGAUGUCUCCGCAUAUGCCUCAUCUGGAAUCAAGUGAACCAACGCAUUGAUUAUGCCCAAAUCAAUCCUCUCAACAAUUCGGUGUAAAAUCAGUGGUUGUUCAUUCCCAAUUACAUCACCGCCACCACCAUAUGGAGGCAUGAACUCCUCAUGAUCUGGCCUUAGCGGCAGAAAAAACUCGACAAUUUAUGUAUACAAAUUGAAAACAACCGGACACCCUCCGACGCCACAUGUUACAGUCACUGCGCCUGAUUCUCUCUGUUGAUUAACACACACAGUGUGGAAAUAGUGCGAACACAUCAACACCAUGUGCUCCAACUCGUGACUCUCGAGUUCCCCUCUGCAAUUCCCACAAGGCUCCGAGUCAAUAUUCUCUAUUAUAGCUUUGAACUUUACAGGUGUCAAAUCAACGUUGAAUUUACCCUUUCUUUUCCCCUUUCCUCCUCCUUCUCCCUAUACCACCUUGCCCUUCCCCUUUUCCUUUCUCUGCCGCCGCCUAACCCUCGGUGGAGAGUCGAACUCCAUUCCGGAGUGGGGAAUGUAUCCAAACAUGCCAUUCAAAAACCAAAACGUUUCAGAUCCACCGGACAUCUCAGAGGCUCCAUCACCCUGCCCUCCUUUCUGUCUUUCUCCCACGCCGCUGCAAUUUUUUCGAAACAGGCUUCAUGAAAAAUGUGCUCACACUUCAACUCCAACAAUUCCUCGAAACACACGAAGCAAGCUAUAACUUCCGAUUCGACGAAGGUGUAGUAGCAUACCGUACAUCGGGUGUUUUUCUCGUUGUAUAUCACCUUAUCGGAAUCCGACACGAACAAAUUCCGUACGCUCAAAAUCGCACCUUCUCGAAUCCAAUCCUCUCUCUCUUCCUCCGAUACAAACAUGAAUCGAACGUGAGAGGGGAUUGAAUCUUCCUCCUCGACAGAAAUGAGCGCUUCUAUCAAUGCCUCCAUUACUUGUUUUGUUUCAGAUGAGAGAGAGAGAGGGUGUUUUUUUGCGUAGAGAACGGUGGACUGUGUGCAGGGUGGACUGUGUAUGUUUUGUGGGAGGGGGGGGGGGGGGGGGGGAAAGGGAGAGACGAAGAAUAUAUUAUAACAAAUUCUGGGCGCGUGGGGCUCCAUUUCAUUUUCGUUUUUAUAUUUUAUAUAUGGGGUUAUUUUAUAGAUCCCCUCAUUUCCAAAUUAUAUAUUACUAACUACCAAGUGGAUUACACUCUAGGGGAAACCCCUUUCAUUUCGAAAAUAUUUUGACAUACCCUCCUGUGCUACCCUGAAGUUCAUAUAUACCUUUUUAAAAUCAGUUCUAACCCUAGCCACUCACGGUCUCUCUCUUCUUCUCCCAAAUUCAAAAUAUCGCCUUCACAAACCUCCCACUGGCGAAAUUGCUUCCCGUAGCCAUAACUCUCUCUCCGGUGGUCGGAUUUUGAUGGUUUAACUACCGUUGGAUUCCUCUCGUCGAGCUCUUUCUUUUGGUGAUGAUUUCAUUCAGUUUCGAGCGCUGAUCUAUUUCUGCAAUUUUUUCAUUCGAGGACGGUGGUCUUGCCGGAGCAUUAUUUUGUGUUCCACCCGUCAAAAUUUGCCGGGUCACCCAUCGUUGGAUUCGUCUCGUCGGGAUCUAUAUUUUGAUGGUAAUUUCGUUUAUUUUUAUGUUUUCAGAUUUAUUUCUAUAUUUUUUUGUAUUUGUGGGCGCGCGGAACUGUGGGUGGUUAUUAGCGGCGUCUAGGGUUUUGGUAGGAGGCAAGGGGGGUGAGGAGUCACUGUCUAUUUGAUUUAAAAUCUGUAGCAUUUCUCAGCAAUAACCUCUCUUUCUAUCUCUCGAUCUCUUAGUGUUUGUUGAUUUUUGAGUGUUUUGAUAUUUUUCUUCAAAUUUUGUUGAUUUGCACUAAAGUAAUUUCUUUUUGUUUUUGAUUUUGCAAUUGCAUCUUAAUGAAGGCCAUUGAUCCUUUCCUUGAAGGUGUCAAAUUUUUUUUUUUAAGUUACAUCUGAUUUGUUCAACAGACUGUAUACAUUACUAUAAUAACAUGUAGUUACAUAUGCGUAUAUUUAUGUAUUUUCGAUUUGUAUUUUUUUGGUUCUGAUGUGAUUUAUAAUAAAAAUAUUGAAAUUUGUAAAUUUUUGUUGGGGUUUUAUUAAUUUAUUUUGUAUAAGUCAGUAUUCGUGUGUGUAUACAAUUGAUCGACUAAAAAUAUGAGGAAAAAAACGAACAUAACUAUGAAUUACUAUAGGUACUAUAGUCACAUGUAGUUAUUUUCAGUACUGUAAACAUAUUGUUUUGAAAAUUUAAAAAAAAAAUUAAUAUAUAUAUAUAUAUAUAUAUAUAUAUAUAUAUAUAUAUAUAUAUAUAACAAACAGGUUUAUAAAAAAAUAAAAAAAUAAAAAAAUAUAAAAAAAAAUAAUAAAUAAAUCAGCGAAAAUGAUAAAUGCAAGGUAUGUCAAAAGAUGAUUUGGGCUUGGGUUAUCCCUAGUUUAUUUGGUGACUAGGGGUAUGUAAAAUAAUCUCUUUAGAGCAACUCCAACGGGGUUUAAAUGGGGUAUCAAAUCCCUUAACCUCCAUUUGACUCCCCAAAUUUAAAAAGUCUAUCCUCCAAUGGGUUUAUUAAAAUAGGGUUCUAUUUUGAUAACUCAAAUAUCGGGAAGUAAAAAUAUAUCCUAAAGAAAUAAUUAUCAAAUAUUCUCCUAGAAAAUAGGAGCACAUGAAAAAAGAAAAACCUCAACAAAAUUGAAUUUUCUUUUCUUUACGUAAAAAUCUCAACAAAAUUAAAUUAAAUUUUCUCUACGUCUUCAAUAAAUUUUCACUGGAAAAAAAAAUCUCAAAAAAAUCUCAACAGAUUUUCUUUUUCUAGGUCUUCACCGAAUUUCCACGGAAAAAAAAAAUUCUUCGUAUAAAUAAUAAGUUUGCCACAUCAAAAUUCUCCACACAAUCAUCCAAGGCCGACUCGGUGUAUUAAUCACCAUUGAAGACACUUGCAGUAAUUUCUAGAUUUUCUUAAUUUUUUAAUAUUUUUUAUGAUCAUAAACUCUAAGCACUUUUUAAUACUUUUUUAAUUGUUUAUGAUUGUUUGAGAAUCGUACUUCUUUACAUUGCUUGCACGUUAAUGAUAGUAAAUUUAGAUGAAGAUAUAUAGAUAAUUAAUCACUACAUAUACAUAUAGAUUAAAUCUUAUGAAACUUUAACAUAUUACAGUGACUAAAUAGUAAAAAAAAUUAUUUAUUGAUAGUCUAAUUAAAUAAAAUAAAUGGUGAAUUUGUUCAAGAACGUUGGGAUGUGCUUGAUGGUGUGAUGAGGUGAGCUAAUUUUCUUGUUUUUCCUCUUCCACUUUUUCUGUAGAUGGAUUCAAAUUACUAUGGGGGUUUCACUAAUCUCGUUAAUGGCGAUAUGCCGGCGUACGAAGAAAGCUCUACGAUCAACUCCACUAUAGAUGUGGGAACACAACUGAAGUCGAAGUUUCAAAUAAACAAAAAAGUUCGACAAAUUUCUCUCGUGAAGAGGAUGUUUGUAUUGUUUCGGCAUGGCUAAAUACAAGUAAAGAUGCUACUCGUGGAAGUGCUCAAACAUCUACCAUGUUUUGGAAGAAGAUUUAUGAUCAAUUUGUAAUGAAUUGCGGUCAACGAGUGCGUACGGAGCAAAGCAUAAAACAACGUUGGCAUGAUAUAAAUGCUAAAUGUGCAAAGUUUAUUAGUUGUCUUAAACAAAUUGAUAAUAGGCAUCAAUCUGGUCAAACUGAUCAUGGAAGGGUAAUACACUCAUUUUAUUUUCUCUUUUCAACUAUUCAUAUUGAUAUUAUUAUUUAUUUAUUUUAACUUUUUUUUUUCAUAGUUAGAAGAAGUGAGAAAAAUGUAUGUUGCCACCAAUAAACAUCAAUUCAAGUUUGUGCAUUGUUUAGAUCUUUUGAAACAUGAGAGGAAGUGGCUUGUUACUUGUGAAAGAAAUAAGUAGGGAACUACUAGUUUUGAAAAUCUUGAUGGUGUCUCAAUCCCAUCAGAAAAUCAAAAUGGAUGUUUUGCUAAUAAGGAUCGGCCUUCGGGUAAAAAAUCUUCAAAAGAAAAAUUGAAGAGAAAAGAAAAAGGUUCAGAAGGUGAAAAAUCAUCUACAAUGUUACUUAUAAAUGAGCGUUGGGAAGAGAAGAUGGCUUUAGAGCGCGAAAAAAUGAUUCAGCGCGAGAGGCUUAUAGCAUCGAAUGAAAAUGUAAAAUGCAUAGAAGAAGAGCGCGUCAAUAACGAAAUUAUGUUGAAAGACACUACUGGAAUGGGGGAAACUGAAGCAGCUUAUUGGAAUUUGAAGAACAAUAACGUAUUGAGAAAGAAUGAUAUAAUAUAAUUAGUUUACUUUUGAUAAUAAUGCUAUUGUGCUAUUUCUUACAAAAUAAUGCUAUUGUGCCAUUUAUAAUAACAGACUACAUAGGAUUAUUUUUUUUUAAUUUAUUUACAAAUUUUGUGUUUGUCUUACAUUUACAUGGUUUGAGCAUAUUGCUAUGAGAAAGAAAUGAAAGUUCAUUUUAAAAAAGUCAUUUCCACACCUUUAUUCUUACGUAUGCAAAAUGAAAAUAAUAUACCAUCGGUUUUAUUUAAAUAAUAGAAAAGAAAUGUCAAGUGCUAAUUUAUGAAAUGCAAUGUAAAAAAAAUAAAGUAAAAAUCAUGAUCGUUCUAUAUAAUGUAAAUUAAGAAUGAUCUUGACCGUGUAAAUUCCAUAAAUGUUCAACAAGUUCGUGCUGGAGUUGAGAAUGAAUUGUACGAUCUCGUAUUUGAUGAUGUGUGUGAAUAAAUUCCAUAAACUCAUUUGUGCCCUCACAUGAAUGUCGUACAUUUGGAGUUAAGUCAUCAAAAUCAGUACUACCCGGGCCAUUUUCAUCUUCGAUAACCAUGUUAUGCAUGAUAAUACAUGCUUUCAUUAUAUAAGAUAAUGUCUCCUCAUCCCAGAACCUUGCUGGUCCACGCACAUUAUUAAAACGUGCCUGUAGUACCCCGAGAGCUUGUUCUACGUCCUUUCUAGCAGAUUCCUGGGAUUGUGCAAAAUAUUUGGCUUUUAAACCUAUUAGAGCUGGUAUUGUUUUUACAAAAGUAGCCCACGAAGAAUAAAUGCCAUCAGCUAGAUAAUAGCCCAUCGAAUAAAUAUUCCCAUUUAUUGUAAAACUAAUAGGGGGACUAUGGCCAUUGGCUAAUGCUAAAAAGAUGGGAGAUCUUUCUAAAACAUUAAUAUCGUUUAGCGAUCCCGGCAUUCCAAAAAAAGCAUGCCAUAUUCAAAGAUCAUGCGAAGCAACGGCCUCUAAUAUAAUAGUUGGUGUGCGACAAUGACCCGUAGACAUACCUUGCCAUGCAGUUGGACAAUUUUUCCAUUUCCAGUGCAUGUAAUCGAUGCUCCCAAGCAUCCCUGGAAAUCCACGUUGCUCGUUGACUUGCAAUAAUCGAGAUAAAUCGUCCUGAUUUGGUGCUCUUAAGUAUUUUUCGCUGAAAAUGGCAACAAUCGCUUUCACAAAAUGUCGUAAACUUUCAAUAGAAGUACUCUCACCUAUGCGUAUGUGGUCAUCCAAAAGAUCGGCAGGAACUCCAUAUGCGAGUAUUCUAUAUGCAGCAAUUACUUUCUGAAGAGAUGAUAAACCAGAAACGCCUAGAGCAUCAUUUCUUUGAACAAAAUAGGGAUCGUAGGCCUCAACGCUAGAAAGAAUCCGAGAGAAAAGGGGUCUGUGCAUACGAAAUCGUCUCCUAAAAUAACCUGCAUGAUACGUAGGAUUAUCAGAAAAUAAUCACAAUAGAGUCUUUUGUGACCUUCGACUUUGUCACGAUUGACUACGCUUCGACCCAGAACUGACACACGCGGUAGUGCCUAUGUUGUCUUUCUCUCUCCAAUUCCUCCUCUUCGACAACCGUUAGCAACAUUUCAAGAUCAUCGGAAUCCGAGUCGGAUAAGAAAUCCAUUAAAUGAAUGUGACCAUGCAUGGUGAAAUAACUAAAUACAAGAUAAUGGAGUUUUAAAACAAGUGAUGUAGUCGAGGAUCUACAUCACAAACAUGUUAUUAUAUAUUAUAUAGAGGCAAAAAUAUAGAAUUAAUGUAACCAAAAAUUAUGAAGAUAUGACUUGAAGAAAUCAAACUAAGACUUUGUCAUAAAUUAUUUAAUUUAUACGUAAUAAUAUUUUUGGUACAAUUCAGUCAAAGUAUUGCGGAUUUGUGGAAAAUUUGAAUUGUUCAAUUAUAAAUCUCAGUUGUGGUAUAUCCACAUGCACAUGAUAAACCUUUUUUUUUCUCUUUGAAAAGGUAAAAACUUGAUUAAUAUUGAUUUUGAUGAAAUUUUACCACAAAAAUCGGUUUGUAUGAUUAUUUAAAAUGAAUUACAAAAUAAAUAAUAUAUAAAUAAUCAUAAUUUUUUUUGAUAAUUAUUUUUUGAUACUUGUGGUUUGAGUUCACUAGUUGUAUAGAGAUAUCAAAAUAUAAUCCUAGUUAUCAAAUGAGUAUUUGAUAACCCCAUUUGAUAACAAUGGGUUGGAGUUGCUCAUAUAUAUAUAUAUAUACAUAUAUAUAUAUAUAUAUAUAUAUAUAUAUAUAUAUAUAUAUAUAUAUAUAUAUAUAUAUGAGUUUAUGGCAUAUACUACCCUUGUGUUAUCUCUAAUUGGCAAAUAACCCCCUGUGAAAAAAAAACUCACCAACACCUCCUUGUGUUAUCAUUUUCGAAGCACACUGCACCCUUUGUGAUUUUAGGCUUUGACUGAAUGUAAAAUGACAAAAAUGCCCUUGUGGAUUUUUGCAGCAAUUAAUAAAACAUAUUAUAAUUUUAUAAAUAUUAUAUAUAUAUUUUUUUAAAUAUUAAAAAAUAUAUAUAUAUUUAAACAGAAUGAAAUAUAUAUUAUAACAUUAAAAGUUUUAAUAUAUUUUCUAUUUUCUAUUUUUUUUUAUUUUACAUUUCUAUAUUAAAUAAAGAAAAGAAAAGAAAAAACAAAAAAAAAAAAAAAAAAAAGCCUUUUUCUUCCCCACCGUUUCUCCAGGGCUGCCACUUCUGCUCCGCCGCAGCUCACCACCAUCUCACCUCUCCUUCACCACCACCACCACCAUCUUCUCUAGAUCCGCGGUCGACCAAUAAAUUUUAGUUUAUUGAAACUUUAGUUUCCACCAACAAACUUUACGCGGGCCUCAAAGAUUUCCCCAAUCUCUUAUUUUGACGGCGGUGGUGGGCGAUAAGGAAGAGCAAGAGAAGAGAAAGGAACACAAAGACGCAAUUUCGGACCUAGCAGGUUCGGCCAUUAUCAAAAUCGUCGCCGUUGAGAGAAAUCGCUUGAAGAUGUUAGAUAGGCCAUUGCUGUAAUUGGGGGUUGUAAUUAGGGCUGAAUUAGCCUCGGGUUAUACGGAUUUGGGUCUAGUAUGGGGAUUGUAGAAGAUGAGGUGGUGGUGCUGAACUUCUUCUUCUCUUGUCGAGGUUGGGGUUUUGGGGUGGGGAAUGGGGGAAGGAAGAAGACGAUGUUCAGUCUUCUUUUUCCUUUUUUUUUCUUUUUUUUUUUAUAAUAUUUUUCUGCAUUAUUAUUUUAUUUUGCAAUUCUGAAAAUUACAAUUUGGUCCUAUAAAUUUAGUUUAUUCAUAAUAUAACCAACAAGAUUAUUUUUUAUUUUAUAAAGGGGUACUUAUGACAUUUCACCCUAAAAAUACCAUUAAAAAUCGCUCAACCCGCGAGUGUGUGACACGAUUUGCGUCCAGGGGUGUCGAUGCCUUGACUUUGUUAACACAAGGGGGUGUUGGUGAGUUUUUUUUCCACAGGGGGGAUUUGCCAAUUAGAGAUAACACAGGGGUGGUAUUUGCAAUUAGCCCAUAUAUAUAUAUAUAUAUAUAUAUAUGUAUUUAUAUAUAUAUAUGUAUAUAUAUAUAUAUAUAUGUAUUUAUAUAUAUAUAUGUAUAUAUAUAUAUAUAUAUACACGAUCAUCUGUUAUUACUAAAUUACCCUGCAAGAUACUAAACUAAACCGCCUAUUCCCAGUCACACACUCUCUCCUUUAAUUAACCAAUUAACCACAAGUUUUUUUUUUUUUGAUAAUGCAGGAACCCGCAGCCAACCAUAUAGGUGCACUGGGUAAACCUACACUCUCGUAUAAUAGCUUGCAAACCAUACGAGAGAUUUAAACCACACUAGGCUAACCAUGUGUGACAAGCUCGACCUAGCGACCGUUGUCAAGGGGAUUCGAACUUGGGUCAAUUAACCACAAGUUUAACUCCUAACUAAAUCUGUGACUAAACUGGGGUAAAACUUGAGGGAUGAAAAUGAGAUUUAUCUUAUUUGACCAUUGAGGAUUCUAUUUGACCAUUGAGGAUUCUGACAAUUCAAAUUUUUUUAUAAUUUUUUUUUUCUUAAAAAAAAUAAUAAUUAAUAUUAUUGUCUUGGCUGCUAAAUUACUGUCUUCGGCAGUUAUUUAACUGUCGGAGACAGUAAUUUAACUGUUAAUUGAUUUUUUUUUUCUUCAAAAAUAUUUUAAUUAAUAUUACUGUAUUCAUUGCUAAAUUACUGUCUCCAACAGUUAUUUAACUGUUGGAGACAGUGAUUUAACUGUUAAUUGACUUUUUUAUUCUUAAAAAAAAUAUUUUUAAUUAAUAUUACUGUAUUCGUUUGUUAAAUUACUCUCCAGCAGUUAUUUAACUGUCGGAAACAGUAAUUUAACUGUUAAUUGACUUUUUUUUUUUCUUUUUUUUCUUAAAAAAAAUAUUUUAAUUAAUAUUACUGACUUGGAUGCUAAAUUAUUGUUUUCAACAGUAAUUUAACUAAAAUAUUUUUUUUCUAGGAAAAAAAAUUUUAAAAAAAAAAGUCAAUACCGGAGACCGGCGGUCAACGGUGGUUGACCGGCCGGAAAAAAAAAGUCAACGCCGGAAUCAGGCCGGUAAAACAAUAUCUCUGAAAAAAAAUUAUUUUCUGAAAAAAAAAGUCUUGGGGGUUAAUAUGAUAUAUUUGUUUAAAUACGGGGUCAAUGUGUAAUAUUAAGGAAGUUAGAGCAUAAUGGGUGGAAUUGAUAAGAACUAUAUUAUUGAGGGUAUUUUAGACUAAAGACAUGGGGAUGGGUUUAAUUGAGAGACUGUUUUUUUUGUGCACCAAAAUGUUUUUAAGUCCCAUGUGAUGGGCAUUUUUGCCAUUCGCCCUAUAAAAUUAUCAAAUUAGAUCAAUUUCAUUUUUGUCCCCUGGAUCUUGAAGGGCAAUGUGGGUAUUAAGUAAAAUAUGUUUGAGGUGGCAAAAUUGGGCAUGAGGAUGAUAUUUAAGUAAAUUAGAACUUCAGGGACUAAUUUGAUUUUGAUGGUAAACCACAGGGGUGAAAAUGAACUUUACCCUACUACACUGCAUUCCAAGAAAGAAAAAAGAAAAAUAGUACCAUAAUCUAGCUAGAUGCAUAUAAAUAAAAUUUCUUUUACUUGGGGCAAAAACUGAAUUUAAUAAACAUUGCAUUAAAUUAAUUGGAUUGAAAAAUUUAAAUUUACAAAGAUUGAAACAUGGUUGAGUUUAAAAAGUAAAUUAGACAAAAAUAAAAGCUACUUGAACCACAAAAAAAAAAAAAAAAAAUGACUUGGCCAAAAAGAAACGAAAGAUUUUAAAAUAUGAUUUUUCUCGUAAGAGAUUCAGUGUUGAAGUUCUAAUAUUAAAUGGUCGAUAAAACACGAUUUUACAAGAUUUAAUAUCGAACCGUAGAAAACCGCACCAGUGAGUACCUGACAGAAAAAAUCGUUUCCUGCAUAUUAUCUUCUCCCAAUCCCCUCUGAAUUCAUAAUCAUUCACAGUUGUUCAAGCAAAAUACACACAGACAAAGAAGAAGAAGAAGAAGAAGAAGAAGAAGAAAAUGGCGGCUCUACGGAGUUCGUUUACGUCGCUAAAUCUGUCGGCAAACUCUUUCCUCGGCCAAAGCUUCGCCCCCUCUAUCCACCUUCCUGCGGUGCGUUUUCAAUUUCCCCCCCUUUUCCUUCUCUUUCAUUUGUAGACACACAUUGCGAAACUAGUUUCCUCGAUUUUUUCUUAUGAACUCUUGCAAAUUAUCAAUUGUUUGUCCAUGAUUUUGGUUUUUCCGACAAUUAAGACUCUUAUUUAGUGAAAUUAGUGAUGAAAUUAAGCAACGGCUACUAGGUUUUUUUUCCCCUAUGGCUAAUUAGGGUUUCAAUUGAGCAGUUGCAAGUGUAGGGAUUGGCCAUCUGCAUCUAACUGUGUGUGUUUGUGUGUGUGUGAACAUUAGGCCUUCUGCAACUGUUUUUACUGGCAUUUAUCUAAAAGAGAGUGAAAUUUGAAGCAGAUGAAUUAGGGAUUUGGCCAUACAUAAGUGUAUUGCUGGAUUUGUUUUUACCUCUGAGUUAUUGCACAAUAUCCGAGCAAUGAUUUAUCUAAACUAGUCGGACGACGGCAGAUAGAUAGAUAGAUUGAUGUACUCAGCUUGAAUAUUUUCGCUGCAGAUGUGUGUAUUUUCCAUUGGUUUUAUAUGAUUUCGGAAGCAACUUUUGUUUGUCGUACUAAUUUUCGGUUUUCCUGUACCAGGUUAAAUCAAAAGAGCAGCCGAUUUCAAUCGUCUCAAAGGUUAAUAUAUAUUUUUAGUUUCAUUUACCAUUUUUUUCCGUAUCCUUUACACUUGCUAUACUCACAUUCUCAUUGCUUCCCAACUAUAAAAUGAAACGGACUUCUUCGUGAAAUUUUGCAUCGAGAGGUAGUAUAGAAAUAACCUGCACUUCUAUAUUUCUGCUAUGUGUUUCUACAUGAGAAGUUCCGAGAUUUACGAAUUAACCACGACCGAUAACAGCAAUAUAAGUUGAUGAAAAUUCUGUUUCAGCUUAAACGAUGGGAGCGAAAAGAGUGCAAACCAAACAGCUUGCCGGUGCUACACAAGAUGCACGUCAAACUCGGUGACACCAUAAAAGUCAUUUCUGGAAAGGACAAGGGCAAAAUCGGCGAAGUCGCCAGAAUUAUUACACACAACAGCAGC
rnacentral:lncRNA from 1 species